rnacentral:rRNA from 1 species
GAUGAACGCUGGCGGCGUGCCUAAUACAUGCAAGUAGAACGCUGAAGGAAGGAGCUUGCUCUUUCCGGAUGAGUUGCGAACGGGUGAGUAACGCGUAGGUAACCUGCCUGGUAGCGGGGGAUAACUAUUGGAAACGAUAGCUAAUACCGCAUAACAGUAGAUGUUGCAUGAUAUCUACUUAAAAGGUGCAAUUGCACCACUACCAGAUGGACCUGCGUUGUAUUAGCUAGUUGGUGAGGUAACGGCUCACCAAGGCGACGAUACAUAGCCGACCUGAGAGGGUGAUCGGCCACACUGGGACGGAGACACGGCCCAGACUCCUACGGGAGGCAGCAGUAGGGAAUCUUCGGCAAUGGACGGAAGUCUGACCGAGCAACGCCGCGUGAGUGAAGAAGGUUUUCGGAUCGUAAAGCUCUGUUGUAAGAGAAGAACGAGUGUGAGAGUGGAAAGUUCACACUGUGACGGUAUCUUACCAGAAAGGGACGGCUAACUACGUG